CUUGAAUUAUCAUGUCGAAACACACUUGUCAUCUCCCGUCCCCCACCAUUUGCUGGGACGGAUAUAUUUUAAAAUUACAUUACCGCCCGGCUUUAUUGCAUCAGGAUAAUACAGUGUGGUUGGAAGGGGGUGGGGGGUGGGGAAGAGAGAAAGAGAAAUUAAAUAACCCUCCAAAAGCCCAUCAAUAUUUCCUUUUUCCUAGCCUCUCUUUUCUUCCCCCUCCCCCACGUCUUUGAUUAUGAUCAUUAUGAGUCAUUUUAAUUUUUUUCUAUUAUUAUUAUGAUUUCCAACCAGAGGCAGAAGGAACGAACGGAUCACCAGGCGGACAAACCUUUCCUCCUCUUUUUUCUUCCGCCUCAGAAAAAGCAGCCGGGAUCCAGAUCAGAAAUGACAACGACCUCUUUGGAGUCUCUCAGAAACCGGUUCAGAAAACAUGGUGGAUUAGAGAGCAGAUCGACGUUGAAGGAAAGGAUGCCUCAAAAUACAGAGGAGAACAAUAUGUUUGGACUACCACCCCUGUGGACUCAAAACCUCUCUCGGUCUCGGUGGAAGGAAAAGGCAACCCCCCUUUGAAGAAAUACUGCCAAAGUUUGAGGCGCCAUAGGUCAGAAACUACUUAAGGCAUACAACAAGGGCUUCUAUUCUGGGUUGCUGUGAGUUUUCCGGGCUGUAUGGCCAUGUUCCAGAAGCAUUCUCUCCUGGCGUUUCUAUGGCAGGCAUCCUCAGAGGUUUGAAGUCUAUUGGAAACUGGGUAGAUGAGUUUUAUAUAUCUGUGGAAGGUCUAGAGUGGAAGAAAGAACUCUGCCUGUUGAACGCAAGUGCAAAUGUUGCAAUUAAUCACCUUGAUAAGCAUUAAAAAGCCUUGCAGCUUUUUGAUGUCUAGCUGAUUACUGCUCGGGAAUCCUUUGUUGGGAGGUAUUAGCUUGCCCUGAUUGUUUCAUGUCUGGAAUUCCUCUGUUUCAGAGUGUUGUUCUUUAUUUACUGCCCUGAUUUUAGAGUUUUUUUUAAAAUACUAGUAGCCAGAUUUUGUUCAUUUUCAUGGUUUUCUCCUUUCUGUUGAAAUUGUCCACAUGCUUGUGGAUUUUAAUGGCUCCUCUGUGCAGUCUGUGAGCAAUUUCAACAGCAAGGGGAAAAAAAACAUCAAAUUGAACAAAAUCUGGCUACCUGUAUUUAAAGAACUCUAAAAUCAGGACAGUAAAUAAAGAACAAUGUUCAGAAAACAGGAAUUCCAAACAUGAAACAAUCAGGGCCAGCUAACACCUCCCAACAAAGGAUUCCCCCAGGCAGGAAUCAGCCAGGGUUUUAAGCUGCAAGGCUUUUCAAUGCUAAUCAAGUUGAUUAAUUGCAAUAUUCACAACAUAUAAAGAGUUAUUUCUCCCAUCCUGGACCUUUCAUAGAUAUACAAACCCCACUUGCCUAGUUUCCAACAAACCUCACAACCCCUGAGGAUGCCUGUUAUACAUGUGGGCGAAACGUCAGGAGAGAAUGCUUCUGGAACAUGGCCAUACAGCUCGGAAAACUCACAGCAACCAAAAACUGCAUAAAUUCCACACUGUUGAUUUAUCCUAUUUCAAGACAACCUCCCACUGUCCAAGGAGCUCCGAAUAGAAAUCUUCACUUCUCUCCAGCCUCUGUCGGGCAUAGAUUUUGGUCAUCUCACUUUCCAAACACCAUAUUAAACACCCAAUCUUUUUACAUUACAUUAUAUAUUCACAAAAGGUAUGUUAUUUAUGAAAUUGAGGGGUAGUCUAGACAACCCUGUCGAUGUAAGCGAGAAUACUUUGAAAACAUGGGGAUUUCUUAUCACUUGAAAGAAAAUCGACUCUCGAGGAAUACUGAUACAUUUCUAGGGAAGCCAGAUGUGAGGAGCGGUGUAAAAGCAAACCGGGGGGGUGGGGGGUGGGGGACUUUUUGAGAUUGAAGCACACAGAAUUUCCAGUCUUCUUGUGGAUUCUGAGAGAUGUAGUCCAAAACGAGGUCUGUCAAGGAAGACAUGAACCUCACUUUUGCUUGGGACAGUAUUUUCUGUGUCAUUUGAAGACUUCCCACCAAUCUUUCAGAUUCUUCUUGGGGAGAGGAAGUGAGGUUUUUGUCUUCAAUCUGGUUACAGGAAGUCCCCAAGUUACGAGCAAGAUAGGUUCUGGGUUGCUGUCAGUUUUCCGGGCUGUAUGGCCAUGUUCCAGAAGCAUUCUUUCCUGAUGUUUCGCCUGCUUCUAUGGCAGGUAUCCUCAGAGGUUGUGAGGUAUGUUGGAAACGAUGCAAGUGGGGUUUAUAUAUCUGUGGAAGAUCCAGGGUGGGAGAAAGAACUCUUGUCUGUCUGUUGUGAAUGUUUCAAUUGGCCACCUUGAUUACCAUUGAAUAGCCUUUCAGUUUCAAGAUCUGGCUGUCUACUGCCUGGGGAGUCCUUUGUUGCAAAGUGUUAGCUGGCCCUGAUAAUUCAUGUCUGGAAUUACUCUGUUUUCUGAGUGUUGUUCUUUAUUUACUGUCCUGAUUUUAGAGUUUUUUAAAAUACUGGUUGCCAGAUUUUUUUCAUUUUCAUGGUUUUCUCCUUUCUGUUGAAAUUGCCCACAUGCUUUUGGAUUUCCAUGGCUUUUCUAUGUAGUCUGACAUGGUGGUUGUUGGAGUGGUCCAGCAUUUCUGUCUUCUGUGUCCAAGUUGGUUCAUCAAGUGCAGACUAAUCCAACCGGCGAAGUCUGCCAAAGCAGAGCACUUUAUGAACCAACCUGGAGACAGGAUAUUAUCUGAGAACACAGAAAUGCUGGACCACUCUAACAACCACUAUGUCAGACUACACAGAGAA